AAUAGUUCAUUUGGACUGUGUUGAAGUGCUUUAUUUUGUGACUAAUGAUUUGGUAUAUUUUACUAUCAUAAUUUGCUUAUAUAGAGAUUUUUCUUAAUGUAGCGAAACUGAAAGAUAUGAGCAAUUUUGUCAUGGGCCGCUUUGGGAUGAUUGUGGACAACUUUAAAGUUGUCAAAGAUCCAAACAUUAGUUCUUAUUCUAUCUCAUUCCAACAUUAAUUUGUGUACAGAAAAGUCAUAGCAUCAAUGAUGUUUGAAACUUUUUUAACUCUAUUUGCUAAUAUUUGGUUAGGUCUCGGUUUCAUUAAUUCCAUAACUUUCAUUUUCUUGGUUGGGGUUUUCUUGUCAUUAUGGUUGGGUGCAUCUGUCCUGGGCCUUGGGGAGUGGUUUAUCAAGCGAAUGCCACUUGUUCAUCUUAUUGAUUGGAAAAGAAUAGUGACGUCGUCCACAUGGUUAGCUAUGCACUUCUCUUCGUAAAUGCCAACGAUAGAAGAAGGUGGACACCGGAUGCAGUUGUAUUUGAUUCUCACCCGCGCAUGGAACUCCCAGCUAUUUGAUUUUUGUGUAUAUUUUUUUCAACAUUAAGUAUUUUCUUUUUUAAUAUUUAUAUUGUAAUUGU